rnacentral:tRNA from 1 species
GCCGGAGUGGUGGAACUGGCAGACACACCAUCUUGAGGGGGUGGCGCCCGCAAGGGCAUGUGGGUUCAAAUCCCACCUCCGGCA